rnacentral:lncRNA from 1 species
CUGGUGUGUAAUGGAAGCUGCCCAGAUCCCUCCUGCAGGGGAGGUGACCUGCCGUGACGUGGGGAACAGUGUUGGAGGUGCCAUUCCUCUCCUGUGUCCUCUGCUCUGUACCACUUUCUGGCAUAGUCCCGACCACAGUUUAUGAAGAGGUAACGCACAGCCAACCCUGCUCUGGUGUCACUUAGAAGCAGCAUUGUUUUUCCCCAAAUACAGAUGUCUUUAUCAUUCCCCAGAAGAAUGUGCAUGAUGUGAAAUAUUCGUAAUUGAAAAGGGAAAACGUUGGCUAAUAGAAAGGGAAGCUACACGCUUAUGCAAAUGUCAAAAACAUGCUUUAUCUCACAAUGGUUGCAUUGUGUCUGGGUGCAGUGAUGUAAGAGCACUGUUAUGAAAUUCCUCAAAAUCCUGAGCAAAACAGCGGCAACGUGCCUGAAAAGGGUGCAUUUGCGAUUAAAAUAAUUUUACUCUUUAAGCAAAUUAACGCUGGAAACAGAAGCUUGCAGAGCUGGGAAUAACAAUACCUGUUAUGACCUGAAUUAAAUCAACCUCCUCGGAAGUCUCGCUUCUCCUGGGUUGGUGCUACUUCGUGAUGCUGAAGGCAGAUCUGCCUUUGAGCCACGGUACCUUCUACGAUGUUCUCCACACUGUACCUUGUGCUUGAGAAGACCUUCUUGAAGAGACCCUUACGAGCAUGGAUUUCAGGGGAGUUGCUGCAGUUCCAAAAGAAGAAUGAAUGGUGUUUCCUAUUUUGACCACAGAGUGAUCUGGUCAUGCGUGCUGCCAGUGGACAUGGCUACUGACCGGCUUCCAGGGAGAGAAAACACAAGGUCACGGGGCAGCAGGGUGUCCUGCCGGUGGGCAAAGCAUGUGAUGGUUAUUCUCAAAGCAGAAGCUUAACAGAGUCCUGUUACCCCAACCCACGUUAAAUUUCUGCUUCCUCAGGCUGCACAGCUCGGGCAGGGCUGCACCAAGGCUCACCAGGAGGAAUGCUCCUGUGGACAGUCGUGGCUGCUGGGAAUGGAGAGAGCAAUUCAGCCUCAGAGGGCCUGGCAGUGUUACCUCCAAUCCACACAUCCCCCAGGUAAGGAAAACCUUUGGACACACGUCCUAGGGCUAUCUGAAUCCUUUGGCACCCCAGAACACCACAGGGAUGCUCUGGCAGGGGGUUAUGCUACAUCUUAGCUACAG